UACGGAGGGAGCUAGCGUUGUUCGGAAUUACUGGGCGUAAAGCGCACGUAGGCGGCUAUUCAAGUCAGUGGUGAAAUCUCCGGCUCAACCCGGAAACUGCCAUUGAUACUAUUAGUCUUGAAUUUUGUUGAGGUAGGCGGAAUAAGUCAUGUAGCGGUGAAAUGCUUAGAUAUGACUUAGAACACCAAUUGCGAAGGCAGCUUGCUAAACAAACAUUGACGCUGAGGCACGAAAGCGUGGGGAUCAAACAGG
rnacentral:rRNA from 1 species